AACGAACGCUGGCGGCAGGCUUAACACAUGCAAGUCGAACGCCCCGCAAGGGGAGCGGCAGACGGGUGAGUAACGCGUGGGCACAUACCCUUUCCUGCGGAAUAGCUCUGGGAAACUGGAAUUAAUACCGCAUACGCCCUACGGGGGUAAGUUUUAUCGGGGAAGGAUUGGCCCGCGUUGGAUUAGCUAGUUGGUGGGGUAAAGGCCUACCAAGGCGACGAUCCAUAGCUGGUCCGAGAGGAUGAUCAGCCACAUUGGGACUGAGACACGGCCCAAACUCCUACGGGAGGCAGCAGUGGGGAAUAUUGGACAAUGGGCGCAAGCCUGAUCCAGCCAUGCCGCGUGGGUGAUGAAGGCCUUAGGGUUGUAAAGCUCUUUCACCGAUGAAGAUAAUGACGGUAGUCGGAGAAGAAGCCCCGGCUAACUUCGUGCCAGCAGCCGCCGUAAGAC
rnacentral:rRNA from 1 species